GAGUUAGGAGGCAAGGCAGUCAAAAAGAAACAAGGAUCAUAUAUGGGUUCUGGGCAUCCCGGCGGCAUAAACAUAAGAUGAUAUAUAUGCUUUGGCUUUUCUUCGGAGGGAUCGGAUUGGGAGACAUAUGUUCUCCUUUUUGCUUGAAAAACCGAGUUUUAGUCGAAAAAGAAAAGACACAUGAAAGAAAACUUAACAAGUUUUGAUGUGACAUUUUCAUUGAAUUCGGUAAGAGGGGUUAGGAUCUUAGCGGUCUUGAGGCUUUGGUUUAACUGGUACGUCAGAGAUCAAACUGUAGCUCGUUCGAUUUUGCUCCCUGCUGCACCUCUCCUGAUUUCUUCGGUGAUUUCGACGGCUUCCAACCAUUCGAAGAUUCAGCAUCCAUCGGGCCAUCAAGCACUGCGUCAUUAAUACGCCUCUUCCUUUCAUUAAUGUGGAGGCUGACACGUUAAGGGUCUUCAGGUGUCGGGAGUGCUAUUUGCUUGUCCUUGUCCCAAUGAUUUGCUCCCAUGCAUAUGACAAGCUCAUGCACGUUUCUAGAAGGGGUUUCGCUCUACCAAUUCCCAUGCUUCCUCGACCUGUUAGAGGCAUGUCUUCCCAAACUAUUAGUCAGAGUUUUUCGCCCUCGUCAUCACUUCCCAGUUGGAUUCCGCCCUAAUGGAGUCAUCCCAGCGUUGAACUAGAUGUUUGCUGAGUAGCGUAAUCGUAGCUUGCAUUUUUCUCAACAUGGCCUAUAACUCCCCAAAUGUAGCAGAAAUUUUGGAUCCUUUCAUACAUGAAUUGACAGGUUAUCUCACGUUUGCCGUGCAAGGUGACAACCUGUUCCUUCUUUAGUGGGACUCGAGCAUCUAUGAGAACUCGGAUACGCAUGUACUCCUCGAGUUGGUAAAUCUUGUUCUUCUCGUCAUAAUCCAUGUAGCUCCCGAUGUAGUUCCCCAUUGCCUCGUCGACCGUCUCAGAGAAGUAUCCAAAGGGCAGGUUGUGAACCUGCACCCAUAAUGUUGCCAUCUUGAGUGGGACUUAUUGAGAAAUCUCCUCCUAGCGGAGCUCAUGUGAGAGCAACAACAUGCCAUCUAUGCUCCAUGGGCCGUUGUUGAUCACGUGGACUACAUCGAUGAAGUGAUUGAAACGGAAUAGGAAAAGUCCCCUCUCCAAGGCGAUGAUCUCCACCCCUCGUCCCGGUUGACAGAUCUCCGGCAUCGUGCGACGAAUGACGUUGAGGUUCGCCUCUUUUUUUGGUGAGGAAGGAGCCGACCACACAUAGGUGGUAUUCUCAGGUCGGCGGUUCCUUGAUCAGCUCGGCGAGAGCCAUCGCCGGCGGUGAUGGUUCGUCCAGGUUUAGGGCAGCAAUCUGUUCUUCGAACGUGGCAGUGGUGGGCGGAGUAGUGGUAGUAGAUGUUGUGGUUGGAGGUGCAAAGGUGAUGAUGGUGGUGGCGGAGUGCAUUGGCGGCACGGGAGGGCUAGUUAUAGCCUCGACAAGCUCCAUGGAUAGGGUGGUGUUUAGGGAAAUUGUUUUGCAUGUUUGGAGAUUGGCUGUUGGGAUUUCA
rnacentral:lncRNA from 1 species